AUUGAACGCUGGCGGCAGGCCUAACACAUGCAAGUCGAGCGGAUGAAGGGAGCUUGCUCCUGGAUUCAGCGGCGGACGGGUGAGUAAUGCCUAGGAAUCUGCCUGGUAGUGGGGGAUAACGUCCGGAAACGGGCGCUAAUACCGCAUACGUCCUGAGGGAGAAAGUGGGGGAUCUUCGGACCUCACGCUAUCAGAUGAGCCUAGGUCGGAUUAGCUAGUUGGUGGGGUAAAGGCCUACCAAGGCGACGAUCCGUAACUGGUCUGAGAGGAGGAUCAGUCACACUGGAACUGAGACACGGUCCAGACCCCUACGGGAGGGAGCAGUGGGGAAUAUGGGACAAUGGGCGAAAGCCUGAUCCAGCCAUGCCGCGUGUGUGAAGAAGGGCUUCGGAUUGUAAAGCACUUUAAGUUGGGAGGAAGGGCAGUAAGUUAAUACCUUGCUGUGUUGACGUUACCAACAGAAUAAGCACCGGCUAACUUCGUG
rnacentral:rRNA from 1 species